rnacentral:rRNA from 1 species
UACGUAGGGUGCAAGCGUUAUCCGGAAUUAUUGGGCGUAAAGAGCUCGUAGGCGGUUUGUCGCGUCUGCUGUGAAAACCCGAGGCUCAACCUCGGGCCUGCAGUGGGUACGGGCAGACUAGAGUGCGGUAGGGGUGACUGGAAUUCCUGGUGUAGCGGUGGAAUGCGCAGACAUCAGGAGGAACACCGAUGGCGAAGGCAGGUCACUGGGCCGCAACUGAGCGCUGAGGAGGCGAAAGCAUG